AAGUCGUAACAAGGUUUCCGUAGGUGAACCUGCGGAAGGAUCAUUAACGAUGGGGUGAUUGAUUUAACACGCUUACACACACCUGUGCACCAACCGGGCAGCCGGAGCAGACGCGUAGCGUAGGCGACACGACACACACAUACAACUCCUAACAACGGAUCUCUUGGCUCUC
rnacentral:misc_RNA from 1 species